ACACCAGUGGUGUGUGGUACACGUGCCGGCUAAUUCUAUCAGCCCCCCAGAAAUUAGAAUACAACGGCGAGUCGGGGUUCGAUUCCCCGCUGGUGUG